AUUGAACGCUGGCGGCAUGCCUUACACAUUCAAGUCGAACGUGAAAGGGGGGCAACCCCCGAGUAGAGUGGCGGACGGGUGAGUAAUACAUCGGAACGUGCCCAGUAGUGGGGGACAACCUCGAGAAAUCGAGGCUAAUACCGCAUACGACCUACGGGUGAAAGCGGGGGACCGCAAGGCCUCGCGCUAUUGGAGCGGCCGAUGUCCGAUUAGCUAGUUGGUAGGGUAAAAUCCUACCAAGGCAACGAUCGGUAGCUGGUCUGAGAGGACGACCGGCCACACUGGGACUGAGACACGGCCCAGACUCCUACGGGAGGCAGCAGUGGGGAAUGUUGGACAAUGGGGGCAACCCUGAUCCAGCCAUGCCGCGUGCGGGAAGAAGGCCUUCGGGUUGUAAACCGCUUUCGGCCGGAACGAAAUCGCCGGGGAGAACAUCUCCGGUGGAUGACGGUACCGGAAGAAGAAGCACCGGCUAACUACGUGCCAGCCGCCGCCGUAACAC
rnacentral:rRNA from 1 species